GGGGAAUUUUGGACAAUGGGGGCAACCCUGAUCCAGCCAUUCCGCGUGAGUGAAGAAGGCCUUCGGGUUGUAAAGCUCUUUCAGCAGGAACGAAACGGUGGCCACUAAUACUGGCUACUAAUGACGGUACCUGAAGAAGAAGCACCGGCUAACUACGUGCCAGCAGCCGCGGUAAUACGUAGGGUGCGAGCGUUAAUCGGAAUUACUGGGCGUAAAGCGUGCGCAGGCGGUUCCAUAAGACAGAUGUGAAAUCCCCGGGCUUAACCUGGGAACUGCGUUUGUGACUGUGGGACUCGAGUGUGGCAGAGGGGGGUGGAAUUCCACGUGUAGCAGUGAAAUGCGUAGAGAUGUGGAGGAACACCGAUGGCGAAGGCAGCCCCCUGGGUCAACACUGACGCUCAUGCACGAAAGCGUGGGGAGCAAAC
rnacentral:rRNA from 1 species